CGAAAGGAACGGAAGCAUGAAAUGAAUGAAGAAAAGAAAGAAGCACAUUAUUUUUCAUUUGUCUUUCUUGUUGUUCCUUUUCUCUUUUCCUUUAGUUGAAUUCAUGCUUUCAUUCCACUUCAUUAUAAUUCAACUAAAGGAAAAGGAAAAGAGAACACAAGAAGAAGAAAAUAAUGUAAUGAAUUGUUUUCUAUUGUGUCUUUUGUGCUUCUUCUUCAUUCCCGUUACAAUGAAUGAGAG
rnacentral:ribozyme from 1 species